GUUUGCCUCAAAAUAAACGCAAAGUGGGCGAUGAGUUUUGAAUUAAAAUAAUAUUAAAAUUAGAAACAUGUGUUGGGCGAGUGAUUUUUUGACCAUAAUAAUCGAAUAAUCGAGUUGAUUGUGGGAAGGUGGGAUUUUUACUAAAGGAAUAAGAGGGGAAUUUAACAAAAUUAAAUAAAUAAUUUAAUAUUUAAAAUUUUUUGAUCUUUUGAGAGAAAUUAAAUCAAUUAAAGUCAGUCCAAACCCACUAUAAUACCCAAUAUACAACAGCCAAAAAAAGUCUUAAAAGUGUAUGCCCAAGGCGCUUCGUUCUAGCAUUUAUAGUGCCCGAAAGCCAGGUGUUCAAAUAGCCCAACUCCAAGUGCUUUUCGGCCAUCGUUUCUCUGCUAAAAUCGAUUGAAUAACCUGCACAGGAACUUAAAAAUAAGCCUGAUUUAUAAAGCUUCAAUUUAUGUUAAAGUUUUUAUUGGUUUUUUUACGCAGCUCUCUUGAUAUUUAUUGUACGGCUCGGAACGAAACACAGUUCGUCGGCAUCGACAUCCACAUCGACGGUGGCGGCAUUUUUGUGUGAAAUGUUUUUCGGACAAAUUGAAAUGUAUUAAUAUGAAAUGUUAUAAAUAA
rnacentral:sRNA from 1 species